GACGAACGCUGGCGGCGUGCUUAACACAUGCAAGUCGAACGGAAAGGCCCUGCUUUUGUGGGGUGCUCGAGUGGCGAACGGGUGAGUAACACGUGAGUAACCUGCCCUUGACUUUGGGAUAACUUCAGGAAACUGGGGCUAAUACCGGAUAGGAGCUCCUGCUGCAUGGGGGGGGUUGGAAAGUUUCGGCGGGUGGGGAUGGACUCGCGGGUUAUCAGCUUGUUUGUGGGGUAGUGGCUUACCACGGCUUUGACGGGUAGCCGGCCUGAGAGGGUGACCGGCCACAUUGGGACUGAGAUACGGCCCAGACUCCUACGGGAGGCAGCAGUGGGGAAUAUUGCACAAUGGGCGGAAGCCUGAUGCAGCAACGCCGCGUGCGGGAUGACGGCCUUCGGGUUGUAAACCGCUUUCGCCUGUGACGAAGCGUGAGUGACGGUAAUGGGUAAAGAAGCACCGGCUAACUACGUG
rnacentral:rRNA from 1 species